AUAAAACGCUUUCAAAUGAUUCUAAAACUCAUUGAAAAGGAGAAUGAAAAGAUGGGUACAAUCGUAUGCCAGGCUUGCAAUUCAACUAUUGAUCACUUUGAGGAUGAAAAAGUAACAGUACUAUAUU
rnacentral:ncRNA from 1 species